GUGGAAAUGCCAGAGAUUCUAUGGUAUUGGUUUAGGACCAAUUUACGGUGGUUACACCUUUCUACU
rnacentral:tRNA from 1 species